CGCCGCGGCCUACCCUCGACGGCCUGAGCAGAGCUACGAGCAGGCGUGGAGCACGGAGCGGAGCAAUGGGGCUAAUCACCUGUGACAUAACCGCUGUGCUCUCGGUCGCUGGAUGUUUCACUUAAGCACUAAAUCCUCCGCCCUUCCUGCGCUGGUUUCUGCUCAGGCAACAGUUGUCUUCCGGAGUUCCAAAGCAGGGCGGGACGUGGGGCUCUCACAGCCCACCAUGUGCCGAUGGGGCACCCAGCUGAGGGCACGUAAAAGACGCCUUUCAGUGAAGGGGAAGAGUCCAGCCAGCAUUGUUUCCUCUCUCUCUCUCUCUCUCUCUCACCCCAAACCCACAGUUUAAGCCUUUGCUGUACAUUACAGAGGCCAGGAAGGUGGGCAAGCAUGCAUCUCAGUUCAGUUGCAAGCACACUAAGGAGAGAUGUGAACCUCCAGCCAUUCCUUGUCACACAGCC
rnacentral:lncRNA from 1 species